rnacentral:rRNA from 1 species
GACGAACGCUGGCGGCGUGCUUAACACAUGCAAGUCGAACGGAGUGGCGAACGGGUGAGUAACACGUGGGUGACCUGCCCUGCACUUCGGGAUAAGCCUGGGAAACUGGGGCUAAUACCGGAUAGUGUGGGAUGGGCCCGCGGCCUAUCAGCUUGUUGGGUGGGUAAUUGCCUACCAAGGCGGCGACGGGUAGCCGGCCUGCGAGGGUGGACGGCCACAUUGGGACUGCGACACUGCCCAGACUCGUACGGGAGGCAGCAGUGGGGAAUAUUGCGCAAUGGGCGGAAGCCUGAUGAAGCGACGCGGCGUGGGGGAUGACGGCCUUCGGGUUGGAAGCUCCUUUAACCAUCGACGCGGUAGAUGGAGAAGAAGCACCGGCUAACUACGUGCCAGCAGCCGCGGUAAUUC